rnacentral:tRNA from 1 species
GUGGCUGUAGCUCAACUGGUUAGAGCGUCAGACUGUGGCUCUGAAGGUUUUGCGGGUUCGAUCCCCGUCAGCCACCCCA